GCUCUUUUGUGGCUCUGCUGUUGCAAAUUGAUGGACAGCCAUACUUGUGCAGUGGAGCUCAUGUUCAUAAAUGAAACAACUUUUUUUCAUGGCAGUUAAAAUUUAUAUAUCAAUUGUCGAAUAAGAAACGCAUGUUCACUGAAUCACUUGCCAUUUUUCCAUGUUAUUUUCCAAAAGCCGUGGCCCAAAGAAUUUGAUGUUCCAAAACCCUUAGUGCCAUCAAAUUCUUCAGGCCCACUGCACACCCCUACUGUUUAGCUCUAGAUGCAUUUUUAACUAUUGCCCUACCUGUGUACUGCAUACCUGUAGCGAUGCUUGAGCAAGAAGUGGCAGCGUGCUGGUGGCAAUUUCGGUCUGCCAUUUUUCUUCAAUUCCUUAUCCCCUCAGUUUUCAAUUCUCUGUGAAGACGGCAGUCAGUGUUAUGAAAGGGCUCUGCAGCCGAUACUCCUGAGUGGCAAACCUAGGAUUUCUGGGCCACAAGCUUAGAGAUCAGCCAUUUCAGCUCAAACUGGCAAAAUUGCAACCAUUCAUGCUCAUCACUGGAACAUUGACCGAAUGUGGAGGAAAGGAAACAGAAAACAACUUUUCAUCCAUAUUCGGUCAACAUUCAAGUGAUAAACUCGAAAAAUACCUGAUGAAAUGUAACCGGGUUAUUUCUCUUUUGGAUUUUAGGCGGAGAAAAGCUACAUCUUCAUUGGCAUCGCCUGGAGGCUGGAACGUAUUUCUAGGGCUUCUCCCUGUACUAAACAUAUACGAUCUGUAAGUACAAGAGGUGGCGCAGUACAAUAUUGAAUCUGCUGUGUUAGUACAAAAGGGAGUGCAGUACUAAUCAACUCAUAAAUACUCAUAAAUAUCGGAUCACGAUGGGUUCUGCCAUGCCUUGCCGGGUCUAAAACCGACCAUCUCAUUGCAGCUGACAAUGACUUGAGAGCAAAUACUGAUCCUGAGAUACACUUCUGAGAAAUGAUCUCGACCAUUGAAUAAAGAGGUCGAGGGGAUCCACGAAGCUUUGUGUCUGUCUACUCUUAAGAACAGUAUGUUUGACCCAAAAUCUAAUGAAAGACAAAUGGUUAGUUGGGCUUGCUUGAACUGAAUGUAUCCUAGUAUACCGUUUGAUAUUUUGUUAUCUUCUAUUUUUAACUCAUCAACACGCAUGAAAAUCCGG
rnacentral:lncRNA from 1 species